AGUGAACGCUGGCGGUAGGCCUAACACAUGCAAGUCGAACGGCAGCACAGUAAGAUCUUGCUCUUACGGGUGGCGAGUGGCGGACGGGUGAGGAAUACAUCGGAAUCUACUUUUUCGUGGGUGAUAACGUAGGGAAACUUACGCUAAUACCUCAUACGACCUACGGGUGAAAGCAGUGGAUCUUCGGACCUUGCGCGAUUCAAUGAGCCGAUGUCGGAUUAGCUAGUUGGCGGGGUAAAGGCCCACCAAGGCGACGAUCCGUAGCUGGUCUGAGAGGAUGAUCAGCCACACUGGAACUGAGACACGGUCCAGACUCCUACGGGAGGCAGCAGUGGGGAAUAUUGGACAAUGGGCGCAAGCCUGAUCCAGCCAUACCGCGUGGGUGAAGAAGGCCUUCGGGUUGUAAAGCCCUUUUGUUGGGAAAGAAAAGAAGCAGGUUAAUACCCCGCUGUUCUGACGGUACCCAAAGAAUAAGCACCGGCUAACUUCGUG
rnacentral:rRNA from 1 species